AUUGAACGCUGGCGGCAGGCCUAACACAUGCAAGUCGAGCGAGCGGCGGACGGGUGAGCAAUGGCUGGGAAACUGACUGAUGGAGGGGGAUAACUACUGGAAACGGUAGCUAAUACCGCAUACAAUAAGAUGUGCCCAGAUGGGAUUAGCGAGUAGGGGGGGUAACGGCUCACCUAGGCGACGAUCCCUAGGGGGUCUGAGAGGAUGACCAGCCACACUGGAACUGAGACACGGUCCAGACUCCUACGGGAGGCAGCAGUGGGGAAUAUUGGACAAUGGGAGCAAGCCUGAUGCAGCCAUGCCGCGUGUAUGAAGAAGGCCUUCGGGUUGUAAAGUACUUUCAGCGGGGAGGCGUUACCCGCAGAAGAAGCACCGGCUAACUCCGUGCCAGCAGCCGCGGUAAUUC
rnacentral:rRNA from 1 species